rnacentral:rRNA from 1 species
CCUGGUGGCCAUGGCGGCGGGGUAACGCCCGUUCCCAUUCCGAAUACGGCAGCUAAGCCCGCCCGCGCCGAUGGUACUUGGGGGGCGACCCCCUGGGAGAGUAGGACGCCGCCAGGA